rnacentral:rRNA from 1 species
GACGAACGCUGGCGGCGUGCCUAAUACAUGCAAGUAGAACGCACAGUUUAUACCGUAGCUUGCUACACCAUAAACUGUGAGUUGCGAACGGGUGAGUAACGCGUAGGUAACCUGCCUGGUAGCGGGGGAUAACUAUUGGAAACGAUAGCUAAUACCGCAUAAUAUUAAUUAUUGCAUGAUAAUUGAUUGAUAGAUGCAAUUGCAUCACUACCAGAUGGACCUGCGUUGUAUUAGCUAGUAGGUGAGGUAACGGCUCACCUAGGCGACGAUACAUAGCCGACCUGAGAGGGUGAUCGGCCACACUGGGACUGAGACACGGCCCAGAAUCCUACGGGAGGCAGCAGUAGGGAAUCUUCGGCAAUGGACGAAAGUCUGACCGAGCAACGCCGCGUGAGUGAAGAAGGUUUUCGGAUCGUAAAGCUCUGUUGUAAGAGAAGAACGGGUGUGAGAGUGGAAAGUUCACACUGUGACGGUAUCUGACCAGAAAGGGACGGCUAACUACGUG